CUUUAAUGUACCGCGAAUGCUAUAAACAGCACUCUUACUAAGGUCAUCUGCCAUGUUUUUUUCUUUACUUUUGACCGGACCAUCUAAAAUUUCUUCACAGUCUGGAAUUGGGUGUUUUCCCAGAACGUUCUUGUUCUUGUGUCAUUGUUUUUGGAGUAAUUUUUGUGCGGGGUUUUUAAAUGUUUUUGACAUUCUUCCUUUGGAAUUUGUGUCUUUGGUUAUAUAAGUUUCUAUCUACCAAGAUUUCUAUCCAUACAGAGGUGGCAUACUUCAAAUGUAUUGAAAUAAUGAGACACCUAUGAGUAAACUUUGUGCAUCAUUUGAGUGCCCUAGUUUUUGGUCAUCAAAAUAUGGUCACCCACCCUAUUCUGGAACGCAGCAUUAGCCAGCGUGAGCACAUGGACCAUAUAAUUGAAUAAUAUGAGUGCAUGAGUUCCUACCUCAGGUCGCUGAGCCCAAGAGGAUGAACGUUGCACAAAAAUCCUUCCAAAGUUAAGUGUUUCAAUGAAGUAUACGGGUGCCGCCUACCGGGUGGAGGACCUAUGACGUGUUGGUAAGUUUUAAAGUCAGACAUAAGAUGACACAUAUUUUUUAAAGUGUAUCUACGUGUAAGUGUAUGAGCGUUAAGUGUGGUGAUUUAAGAUUUUAAAAUUAUUAAGACUUGAUUUGUGUGACGCCUGACCGCGUUCAAAUGGAGUUCUGUGAUUGGCUGAACUGAUGGUACGUGAAGAUGGCGGCCCCCGUUGCUGCCGUGUUGUUGAUUUUAGCUGGUUCGGUUGGUUCUGGUGUAGGUUCUGGUCCAGACUUGGUGCUCGGUCAGGUGGAGCUGGGGCGCGUUCGGAGCCUGGCGAAAAACUCCAAAUACGGAGAGUGUUGGGCUCGUGCACUUGGGCAGCUGGACGAGCACUGCCGGGAGAUGACGUCAGAAAGACAGGGCCGCCUGGCGCUCAAAUUCACACACUGUCACCUGAGCAGUUCAGGCAGGGAUUUCCCUUCAUGUCCCAAGGGGUCAGAGGUCAGCAGGUGCACAGCCUCAAUGGACAGUGUGGCCUUCAACACUUACACUGAGUUCUUCACGCACACUUAUGCCAUUUGUCACUUCCUGCAGUCUGAGGCCUGGCACAACCGAGCUGAGAACACCAUGCACAGGUUGACAGAGAGUUCUGCAGGUGUAGUGGAACAGCUGGAGUCUACCAAGCAUAUGGCUGAGGAGCUGAUGGAAGCCCAGAGUGUUGCCUUGCAGGCACAGCAUGAGAUCCUGAACAGUGGGGAGGAGCUAAGGGUUACCCUGAGAGACUCCACCCAGGGUCUGAGGUCAAUGUUCUCUGAGCUGAGCAGCGUCUCCAGGGAGCAACAAGUGGUACUCUCGGAGCUCUUCAGCAGAGUGUCCUUCCUGCAGAACUUCUUGAUGAUGGAGACGCACAGUGUCACUUCCUGUUUGUACAACGCUGCCGCCCUGUGUGCCUCCUUCCUCCUCACCUCCACCCAGCGCUCCUCCAGAGCCAGGUUGGUGUUGUUGGGUCUGGUGUGUAUGAACUUCUACUUGGAGAGGAAGAUCUACCACUUUGUGAUGACUUCUGAUCAUCCUGAGCACACAAUGGAGCUGGUCGGUGUUUACAUUGGCAUGUUGAGGAGGUUCAUGGUGGGUGUGGCAUUUUUGGUUCUGCUCUGGGUGUGUGUUCGGUACAUGGACCCGGGUCAGCAGAGUCUUCUGGUCCUGCAGCAGCUCCGAGAUACACAUUGUCGCCUCCAGGAGACGCUACAGAGAGCAGAGAAUUUUGGGCAAUGGAAGAAGACAGAAGACUCUCAGGUGGAGGGAAGAAGAAAAGAGACGCUGGAGAGGACGAAGGGAAGUGAUGAAGACGAAGAAGGGGAUACAUUGGUGUCUCCAAGCACGGACACCUCUGACCUGUCACGCCUGUCAAUCAUUGUGUGCAUGUGUGUGUGCGUGCAGGUUGGAGCUCUGACGGUCUCCUCAGUAGUACCCUGAUCACCACGGCAACAGACACCUCAGCGCAGCCCGUCAUGACCCACGAUGCCUCAAUGACUCCUGGUCGACGUACUCGCCGCAGAUCCUCCUUCUCCUCCCCUGUGGUCUACAGCGUCCUGGUGGAGGACAAACAGCCACGUUACAGUCUCAGGAGCCGGAAAUCCCAAAACUUAUGAAUGAAUUCUUAUUUUACUGUUUUUAUCAUCUCGUUCAAUAAAGUCGACUUUUUAAGAGUGAACUGUGUGCUGACAUCAUGACUUUUUGACCCAGUGAGCUUUCAUGGAAAAGUGAUCGCAGAACUGCUGACGUACCUGUACAUCAGUAAUUUAUCAUUCCAGACUGGUAAAUUCCCAAACAAAAAUAACGGCUACAGUAGUUCCAAUCUUUAAAAAUGGAGACAAACAUCA